AUGUGGAAGAAAAGGCGAGAGCAAAGGACACACGUGCUCGAGGUAUUGAGGGAGGAUCUAGUGCCAAUAUGGUACAGAAGAAAAACUUCCAGUCCCACAAGUUCAAGAACAAGGGCAAGUUCGAUGGUAAAGGAAAGUUUGAUGGGAAGAACAAGGCUGUGCAGCACACGAACUUCAAGAAGAAGAAUGACAAGAAGAAAGGUGCUUGUCACGUGUGUGGAGAUCCUGAUCAUUGGGCUCCUAGUUGCCCCAAUCGCUAUGACAAGCGUCAUCCUGGGAAAGGCGGCAAGACCGCUAAUGUUGUCAUCGGGGACAUUGACAUGA
rnacentral:rRNA from 1 species